rnacentral:rRNA from 1 species
CGCAUCUGUGCAUGCAGCAUAUCAAUAAGCGGAGGAAAAGAAACUAACAAGGAUUCCCCUAGUAACGGCGAGUGAAGCGGGAAGAGCUCAAAUUUGAAAUCUUAAAGGGUUUCCCUUUACGAAUUGUAGUUUAAAGAAGUGUUUUCUGUUGAGGUUUUGGUAAAAGUUCUUUGGAAUAGGACAUCAUAGAGGGUGAGAAUCCCGUAUUUGACCUUUACUUUCAACUUUGUGAUACACUUUCAAAGAGUCGGAUUGUUUAGGAAUGCAGUCCAAAAUGGGUGGUAAAUUUCAUCUAAAGCUAAAUAUUGGCGAGAGACCGAUAGCGAACAAGUACCGUGAGGGAAAGAUGAAAAGAACUUUGAAAAGAGAGUUAAACAGUACGUGAAAUUGUCAAAAGGGAAGCGUUUGACACCAGUGUUGUUUUUCUGAAAAUCAAUUAAAGAACUGUUUAUGCUAAGCUGUUUAGACUUUAUCAGCUAACUGUUUAGUUUUGAGCUUUUCUUUAAUGCACUUUUCAGUUAACAAGUCAACAUCAAUUUCUUUUGCUGUAAAAAAGCUUGAGGAAGGUGGCUUGAGAUUCGUCUUAAGUGUUUAUAGCCUCUUGCCUAUGCAGUCGGAGAGAUUGAGGUCUGCAGCGUAGAUCCUUCGGGGCUAAAUGCAUUUGUGCUAAGUUAUAGCAUUUUAUAGACAACUUGUUGACUAUGAUUUGUCUUGUAGCUUACUCGCUUAUGUUAUUUUACCUACGCUUAGGAUGUUGAGCGCAUGUCUCUCUCU